rnacentral:rRNA from 1 species
AUUGAACGCUGGCGGCAGGCCUAACACAUGCAAGUCGAACGAGUGGCGGACGGGUGAGUAAUGUCUGGGAAACUGCCCGAUGGAGGGGGAUACCUACUGGAAACGGUAGCUAAUACCGCAUACCAUCGGAUGUGCCCAGAUGGGAUUAGCUAUUAGGUGGGGUAACGGCUCACCUAGGCGACGAUCCCUAGCUGGUCCGAGAGGAUGACAAUCCACACUGGAACGGAGACACGGACCAGACUCCGACGGGAUGCAGCAGUGGGGAAUAUUGCACAAUGGGCGAAAGCCUGAUGCAGCAAUGCCGCGUGUAUGAAGAAGGCCUUCGGGUUGUAAAGUACUUUCAGCGAGGAAGCGUUACUCGCAGAAGAAGCACCGGCUAACUACGUGCCAGCAGCCGCGGUAAUUC